rnacentral:tRNA from 1 species
GCUGGCGUAGCUCAGUGGUAGAGCAGCGCUCUCGUAAAGCGAAGGUCGGGAGUUCGAAUCUCCCCGCCAGCA